CAUGGCUCAGGAUGAACGCUAGCGGCAGGCUUAACACAUGCAAGUCGAGGGGUAACAGAGGAGCUUGCUCUUGCUGACGACCGGCGCACGGGUGCGUAACGCGUAUACAAUCUGCCUUACACUAAGGGAUAGCCCAGAGAAAUUUGGAUUAACACCUUAUAGUUUAUUUUUAUGGCAUCAUUUAAAUAAUAAAGUUUACGGUGUAAGAUGAGUAUGCGUCCCAUUAGUUUGUUGGUAAGGUAACSGCUUACCAAGACUACGAUGGGUAGGGGCCCUGAGAGGGGGAUCCCCCACACUGGUACUGAGACACGGACCAGACUCCUACGGGAGGCAGCAGUGAGGAAUAUUGGACAAUGGAGGAGACUCUGAUCCAGCCAUGCCGCGUGCAGGAAGACGGUCCUAUGGAUUGUAAACUGCUUUUAUACAGGAAGAAUAAGGACUACGUGUAGUCUGGUGACGGUACUGUAAGAAUAAGGACCGGCUAACUCCGUGCCAGCAGCCGCGGUAAUACGGAGGGUCCGAGCGUUAUCCGGAAUUAUUGGGUUUAAAGGGUCCGUAGGCGGGCUGUUAAGUCAGGGGUGAAAGUUUGCAGCUCAACUGUAGAAUUGCCUUUGAUACUGAUGGUCUUGAAUUAUUGUGAAGUGGUUAGAAUAUGUAGUGUAGCGGUGAAAUGCAUAGAUAUUACAUAGAAUACCGAUUGCGAAGGCAGAUCACUAACAAUUGAUUG
rnacentral:rRNA from 1 species